GUGCAUAUUACCAUCAUCAUCUCCAUCUUCUUCACCAUCGUCACCAUCCAUCACUGUCUCUUCCCAGCCACCAUAACCUCCAUCACCAUCACCUCAGCACCGCCACGGCCACCUCCUUUUACCAUAACCUCCGGCGACAACCCACACCGCCGCACCGCUUUCUCUUUUUCUUCCCCUCUUUUCACUUCCGCUGAGCCUAGAAACCACUGCGCCAGCUCCUCCUCUCCACCAAAGCCCAGAAUGGCAGCGGCCACCUUUUCCUCCCUCUCUUUCACUGGCCGAACCGCUGCGCCGUCGAUGAGCCACAGCGACACCGACAAUGAGCCCCUUUUUCCCUUUCUUCUUCCUUCUCUGUCAUCCCGUCUCACCAUCACCAACCAGCCUAGCACCGUCGCAAUUCCAGCCCCGUUUCUCGUUCACACCCUUCCCCUCUUCUCACCUCUGCCAAGCCCAGAAACCACAGCUACCUUCCCAAGCCCUGUCACCUUCGCGCUAAUCCACAGCCCCGUGACCCUCCUCUUCGCGAUAUCACGUCCAGCCUCCUUCUUCUUCCCCUCCUGUCCGAACCUAGCCUCGCCUCAGCUUCCAGUCAUCACCACAGCAGCCGGCGUCUGUACCCACAACGGACACAGAGCCACCACAUCUCUCUCUCUUUCUUCUUCUUCCCCUCGCUUCACCUCAGCCGAGCCCAGAACCCACCGUACCACCACAACGCCACCGCACAUCCCCAUCGCACAGCCCUCCUUUCUUCUCCCAUCGCCGCCGGUUCUCCUUUGCUCUGUGCGAGACCCACCACCUCCGCGAAGCUCUCUCUCCCUCUGUCAUUAGUUCCCUAACCGCUAGCCACCAACAACCUCCUCUUCACCGGACCAACACGACGGCGAGCUUCUCUUUUGCCUCCCUGUUCGCCGCUAGGACUCCACCUAGAACAACCGAGGCCACUCCUCUUCCUCUCCUUUCCUGUUUCGAAUGUUUGUUCAGCAUUUCAGCAUCACCAUCACUCUUGCAGCCACCCUAUCGCCUAACCCACCAGCUGAAGGUGGAGGUGACACAAUGACGACUCCUUCUACUCCGCAUGAUCUUGAGCACCAUGGACGGUGCUACGUCUUAAGUGUGGGGAGGUUGUCCUUUAACAAGCAUAUUUUGGGUGACAAUUUUAUUUCCGAACACUUGUAGUUUAGUUUUUAUUAUUAUUAUGCUUUUUAGUUGUUUUGUAUAUAUUUUAUCUUUUGAAAACCUUUUUACUUAGUUAUUGCACUUUCUUAGUUUAUUGCACUUAUUAAUUUUGCUUGUACAUAACUUAGUAUUAUAUAGUAGUUAUGCAUAUUUUGACAUUUUGCUCUUAAUUUUGGCUUGUACAUAUGUUUUUUUUUUUUUUUAAUCUUGAUUGUGAUUUGGAUGAUGUGAUGAUUGCACCUAGUUUGAUUUCCUAUACACUUGUUAUUUUGGUUUGUUUGAAAUUAGGAAUUAAACUUAGGAUUUUUUAUCUUUUUCAUCCAAUCACGUUAUAUACAUAUAUAGAAUAAAUGUUAGUCAAUUUAAUGAAAUUUUCAAGAAGCUUACUUUUUAUUUAGGGCAUUAAAAUUCAAAUUGAAUUGAGUUAAAAUUUUUCAUUGAAACUUGCAUGACUUAUACAUUGUGGAAUAUGGUUUUUGAGUUAAAGAACAUACAACUUGUGAGCUUUUGAGCCUUAUUGUGUGGUUACAUCAUUUGACCACUUAUUUCAUUCUUGUGUGUUGCUCUUCUUUAUGAUUGCAAUAUUUGGUUUGUUUAAUUCUAUAUGUCCAUUGUUUAAUGUAUAUUUAUGCAUUUAUGUGAUUGAGGCCAUUAUUUCUUUAUAGCUCACUUAACCCAAAUAGCCUACCAUUUCAUUCACCUUUGUUUGUCACUUUGAGCUUUUUUAAUCCCCUUUUGUUCUUUAUUUUGCCACAUCAUUAACCUUAAGCGAAAAAUAAUGAAGUGUCUCUUAUUUGAAUCUUUGAGUAGCUUAAAUUAGUGAGAGUGUGUAAUGUUUAAGUGUGGGGAAAAUGUGGGAACUUUAGGUGAUGAAAAUGUGUUUUAUGCUUAUUGAAAAAUCUUGAAAAUUUAGGGUGCAUACUAAUGUAAUAUUAUAGAAACCAUAUGCAUUGGUGAGUUGGUAUAUAUAUCAUGUUGAAAAAAAAAAGAAAAGAAAAGAAAUAAUGAAAAGGGGACAAAAUUA